UAGGUUGAAUUUAAAAUUUAUUAUGUCAUAGUAGUAUAACUAAAUUUAUUAGUUAUGUUAUUUUAAAUAAAUUAUGAUGUAUUCUACGUUUAUGAUUUUAAAAUGAUAAAUCAUUUGAUGUAUUAUUUUAAGAUUGGUGGUCAUGUUUGUUAGGCGUCUAGAUUACCCAUAUUUUUGUACUAAUGAACUUUAGUUUUUUGUUUUAACAAAAGUUAUUUGGAUCAGUGAAUUUUUGUUAUUGGGUUAUUAAUGGACUUAAUUUCGAGUUAGUACAUAAAACGAAUGGUUAAGUGACAUAAAAAGAAAAAGAAAAAUAUACCUUUGAUACCCAGCCGACAAAACCUAUUCUUCUUCCUUUCACACCUCCUCAUCCCAUCUUCUUUGUUUCACCAUCACCACCUCACCGCAUCUUCUUCCUCACCACCUAUACUCCCUUUUCAUUUAAUUCUGCUUCGUCUUGCUCCCCUACUUCGUUUUCCUCCGUCAUCUUCUUUCACGCUUGUAACCUAGUGAGGAUGUCACAUACUCUGUGCUGGCUCGUCUCAAUUUAGUUGGUAGGAGAAGAAGUAUGAUGGUGGACUUGGGCUCAGAUAAUAAUUUUCAAUAACUCAGAUAAUAAGCCACCCGUGAAGCCCAACCAAACCAUACGAAAAGAGAGAAAAAAAAAGUUGGACACGUGUCAUACACAGAGAAAAUGAAUUAGUGA